UUAGUGGUUUCGGGGGGAGUAUGCAUCCUUGUGAUAUUGAAGUUUUCCUACCUCGCCAGAAAGUGAAUGCCCACCCUAAGAAGGCAGGAAAUCAUUACUAGGGUAUCAAGUCCUAGUAUGACCAUAAAGAUAAAAAAUUAUUGAAUCUGAGAAUACCUAAUGUGGCAGAAAAAGAUAUUAAUUGACUGCUUUCUUGCUAUAAGCAUUACUUAAUUUAAAGCCUGCUACAGGAAAAGACGAAAUGAACUUAAACAGAAGAAACCUAGAUGUAACUAAUUUGGAUAAAAUUUGUCACCUGCUCAAAC